GACGAACGCUGGCGGCGUGCUUAACACAUGCAAGUCGAACGGAAAGGCCCUGCUUGCAGGGUACUCGAGUGGCGAACGGGUGAGUAACUCGUGGGUGGUCUGCCCCGCAAUUUGGGAUAAGCCUGGGAAACUGGGUCUAAUACGGGAUAGGAGCCAGAAUCAGUGUGAUGGUUGGAUAGCUUUUUCGGUGUAGGAUGAUGUCGCGGCCUUUUAGCUAGUUGGUGGGGUAAGGGUGUACCAAGGCGGCGACGGGUAACCGGCCUGUGAGGGUGGACGGCCACAUUGGGACGGAGAGACGGCCCAGACACCUACGGAAGGCAGCAGGGGGGAGGAAAGCACAAGGGGCGCGAGCCAGAUGCAGCGACGCCGCGUGGGGGGUGACAGCCGGCGGGUGGUAAGCGCCUUGCGCUAGGGACAGAGCAUUUAGUGACGGUACCUGGAGAAGAAGCACCGGCUAACUAUGUG
rnacentral:rRNA from 1 species